AAAAUGACUCUCGGCAACGGAUAUCUCGGCUCUCGCAUCGAUGAAGAACGNAGNGAAAUGCGAUACUUGGUGUGAAUUGCAGAAUCCCGUGAACCAUCGAGUCUUUGAACGCAAGUUGCGCCCGAAGCCGUCAGGCCAAGGGCACGCCUGCCUGGGCGUCACGC
rnacentral:rRNA from 1 species